AUUGAACGCUGGCGGCAUGCUUUACACAUGCAAGUCGAACGGUAACAGGGAGCUUGCUCCGCUGACGAGUGGCGAACGGGUGAGUAAUAUAUCGGAACGUGCCCAAGAGUGGGGGAUAACGUAGCGAAAGUUACGCUAAUACCGCAUACGAUCCAAGGAUGAAAGCAGGGGACCUUCGGGCCUUGUGCUCCUGGAGCGGCCGAUAUCUGAUUAGAUAGUUGGUGAGGUAAAGGCUCACCAAGGCGACGAUCAGUAGCUGGUCUGAGAGGACGACCAGCCACACUGGAACUGAGACACGGUCCAGACUCCUACGGGAGGCAGCAGUGGGGAAUUUUGGACAAUGGGGCAACCCUGAUCCAGCUAUGCCGCGUGAGUGAAGAAGGCCUUCGGGUUGUAAAGCUCUUUUGUCAGGGAAGAAAAGGGUACGGCUAAUAUCCGUGCCUCAUGACGGUACCUGAAGAAUAAGCACCGGCUAACUACGUGCCAGCCGCCGCCGUAA
rnacentral:rRNA from 1 species